UAUAGACAGCAAACAUCUGUCUAUAUGACAAAUGAAUCUCGCAUUCACGAACACUCGCACUGACGACAUCACGCACGUUCGCACGCCCUGGCUGCUAGGAGACGCUAUUCCGUUUACCCGGCCCUGAUGCGCGCCAGUCAACCAGGCGAAGGCCAGGGGACCUCGAGACCGGCAGCCCGGACGAUGAACCGGAAGGAGGAAAAGGAACGGGAGGGAGAAAGAUGAGAUGUGCCUACUUCUCCCUGGAGACGCUCGAGGAAGCAGGAAUGCUGGAGAUGAGCUGCUCCUCACUCUCACUCCUGGGUGUGCUGGGCAGUGGGGUGCAAUGCGCACGUAGGUGCACACUGUCCCUGGGCGGCAACGAGCAGCAGAGGUCUGAUCUGUGGUCGGGUGAGGAGAGGAAGUCCAAGUAAAGCAGCUGCAGCGAGGCCUCGUCUGCUCAGGGGCUUGUUCUUCUGUCUCUUUCAGAGGCCUCGUCUGCUCAGGGGCUUGUUCUUCUGUCUCUUUGCAGGGCUGUUUUGGACUCAGUAUUCACCUAAGCACUCCAAAUUG
rnacentral:antisense_RNA from 1 species